CAGCAGCCGCGGUAAUGCGUAGGGUGCGAGCGUUAAUCGGAAUUACUGGGCGUAAAGCGUGCGCAGGCGGUUCGUUAAGACAGAUGUGAAAUCCCCGGGCUUAACCUGGGAACUGCAUUUGUGACUGGCGAGCUAGAGUAUGGCAGAGGGGGGUAGAAUUCCACGUGUAGCAGUGAGAUGCGUAGAGAUGUGGAGGAAUACCGAUGGCGAAGGCAGCCCCCUGGGCCAAUACUGACGCUCAUGCACGAAAGCGUGGGGAGCAAACAGGAUUAGAUACCCCUGUAGUCCCUGUCUCUUAUAC
rnacentral:rRNA from 1 species